rnacentral:rRNA from 1 species
GCACAAGCGGUGGAGCAUGUGGUUAAUUCGAAGCAACGCGAAGAACCUUACCAGGUCUUGACAUCCCGAUGCUAUUUCUAGAGAUAGAAAGUUACUUCGGUACAUCGGUGACAGGUGGUGCAUGGUUGUCGUCAGCUCGUGUCGUGAGAUGUUGGGUUACGUCCCGCAACGAGCGCAACCCCUAUUGUUAGUUGCCAUCAUUCAGUUGGGCACUCUAGCGAGACUGCCGGUAAUAAACCGGAGGAAGUGGGGAUGACGUCAAAUCAUCAUGCCCCUUAUGACCUGGGCUACACACGUGCUACAAUGGUUGGUACAACGAGUUGCGAGUCGGUGACGGCGAGCUAAUCUCUUAAAGCCAAUCUCAGUUCGGAUUGUAGGCUGCAACUCGCCUACAUGAAGUCGGAAUCGCUAGUAAUCGCGGAUCAGCACGCCGCGGUCGAAUACGUUCCCGGGCCUU